rnacentral:rRNA from 1 species
GUACUUAAUCGUACCUUCUCUUCGGAGCAGGAGUGACAGGUGGUGCAUGGUUGUCGUCAGCUCGUGUCGUGAGAUGUUGGGUUAAGUCCCGCAACGAGCGCAACCCUUAUCUUUAGUAGCCAGCGGUUCGGCCGGGCACUCUAGAGAGACUGCCAGGGAUAACCUGGAGGAAGGCGGGGAUGACGUCAAAUCAUCAUGCCCCUUAUGACUUGGGCUACACACGUGCUACAAUGGCGUAAACAAAGGGAAGCAAAGC